rnacentral:tRNA from 1 species
GCGGGAUUGGCUCAGUUGGUUAGAGCGUCAGUCUCAUAACAUAAGACUAAGAAAUCUGAAGGUCGUGAGUUCGAUCCUCACAUCCCGCA